AUCUACCUUUUUUACAAAGUAUCUUCUCUAUCAGUGAGAUGUUGGCAGCUAGCUAAUAAAGUUAUGGAUAAGAUAGAAAABGGCUCUCUAGAUCCACCACGCCGUAAAAAAAUAAUUAGCAGUAAACACACUGUAGUGCAGUCAAACUUCCGUUUUUUGAAUGGAAGGGAUCCUAUAAAGGAUGAGGAACAAAUUUUCGCGUUACUAAAUGAUUAUUCUGAAGGCAAAUUCCCAGACAACUCAGGAGCAGUUCCAAAACGGAAAAAAGCAAAAACUGAAGAUAACACACAAGAAACGUCUGUAGGUAGCAGAGAAUCACACAACUACGUAAUUAUGAUAAGAAAUCAUGGCACGUUUACACGCAUGACGAUGUGUUCUUGAAUGAGUAUUUUCAUUGUUAAUGGCGUGCUGCUCCCAUAUGUCGUGACUUGCACGGUGCACGAACUCCGUUCUGUCAUAGUUAUGAUAAUCUCAGCGAUAACAAUGAUGGCGUUACAAAACGUAAGACGUSMRGUCUGACAAUUUCAUUAAGCUAUCCUUUCCAUAGAGCUUUAAAAUUGAAGAUUUAUCUGAGCGACUUCAGUCAGAGAAAGAAAAGUCAAGUGCACUUGUUUGUGAAAAUAAGGAACAGAUGAAAACCAUUGCGCGUUUGAACAACGAGCUCUCACAUAGUAAGGGGGAAAUUAUUAGGUUACAGAACUGAAAAACUAAAGGAUGAAAACAGAAGAUUAUCAAAGGCACUUCAUGUUGAGKAGUSGAAUUCAMAAUAUCUUGCCUCCUGCGUAAAAGAUAAAGAAGAGGAGGUACAUCGGCUCACCGAUAAAAUCAAAAAAGCAGAAAAAUUACAGAAAGAUCUCACCAAGGUAA